rnacentral:lncRNA from 1 species
GGGAUGGUAAGGGGUAGAGGAUCGAAAGGUGUGAUUGAUGAAGGGAGGGUGGAGGAUCUCCCUAAGCCAUGGGAGUUUUUACUUAAGUGAAAAUGUUUUGUUGGUCUGUUGCAAAUGAUAGCAUCGGAGGGUUCGAGCCGGAAAUUGUGGAGUUGUGGUUCCUCCGAGGGUUUGGGCGCCCAUCCGGGUGGUUCUGGCCGGAACUUUAUGCAUGGCUUCCCUUUGCGGCGGGAAGUCUGCUCCCAGGCCCCUGCAUGCGCGAGAACCCACACGUUUGGUUCUACUUUUAUUUUAUUUUAUUUUUGUUUUUUAGUUAUUUAGUUUUUGUUUUAUGUUCCAUUUAUAUGAAAUUUUGUAUUAAUUCUAUUUUAUGUUCGAUUAUUCUAUACUGUUAAUUUCUUUUGAGCUUUGUAGCAGCUGACGAUGGCCGCUGGGCCGAAAGUACUUCUGCGAUUAAAUAUGUUGUUUUAAUCUUUCAUUUGGUCUGC